rnacentral:lncRNA from 1 species
CACCUGUAACAACACAGAUAAAAAUGACGUAGUAGUGAGAAAAAAUAGCAUUAUGGCCCAUUGAAGCUCUUAAUAUGAGUUGCUUCCAGAACAAGUGUAGAUACUUACUUGAUUGUCUUUAACAGUCAGAUAGUGCCCAGUACGCUCUAGGUGAGCAACCUGCAUGAAAUAUCCAGCUAACAUAGCCUUUCUUAUGUUUACGUAGUAGUUGCGACUGUAUAAUAGUGAGAAAUCAAUAGCAUUAUGGCCCAUUGAAGCUCUUAAUAUGAGUUGCUUCCAGAACUAGUGUAGAUACUUACUUGAUUGUCUUUAACAGUCAGAUAGUGCCCAGUGCGCUCUAGGUGAGCAACCUGCAUGAAAUAUCCAGCUAACAUAGCCUUUCUUAUGUUUACGUAGUAGUCGCGACUGUUGAAG